UUUAGAGGAAGUAAAAGUCGUAACAAGGUUUCUGUAGGUUGAACCUGCGGAAGGAUCAUUACCGAUGAAACAAUCCAAAACGAGUCUUUGAGACUUGUUUACCGUGUGAACUGUACGUAAUCUUUUAGGGGUCGGUCUCUGUGCCGUUAAAUGGUCGUCCGUCGCUUGGCGUGCGUUCGGUCAGCCCCGACUUUAUGUUUUUACAAACUUUGUUUAUUCAGUCUGAGAACCAAUAGUGUUGGAAAACAAAAAAGAGAGACAACUUUUAACGGUGGAUCUCUUGGCUCACGCAUCGAUGAAGAACGCAGCCAGCUGCGAUAAGUAGUGUGAAUUGCAGAAUUCAGUGAAUCAUCGAAUCUUUGAACGCAAAUGGCGCUCUUGGGUUCUCCCAGGAGCAUGUCUGCCUGAGUGUCGGAUAUCAUCCAACGCACUUGAGUGUGCGGCAUUGAGGCGUCACGGCACACUUAUGCCGCCGUGUCCCUUGAAAAGCAGAGAGACUCGCAUCGUGCGUUGUUCUGCACCCCCAUGCGAAGGCUAAAAAUCCAUUUGGUCCUUGGCUGGGUGAGUGUCCGGAGCGCGCGCGGAGUCCCACGACAAAAACAUAACUAUCUGACCUCAGUCAGCAAGCACC
rnacentral:rRNA from 1 species